AAACAUUACCACCGCAGCUGGUAUAGUUAAAUUUGCACAUCUUUACUCUGCCUACUUGGGGUACACAUACACAGUCAUUUUAAAGGUUUGCACUGCUCUAUCCCAUACAGGAGGACAUAUAGGCUGUAUUGCUAUGGGGUACCUUUGCAAAACUUAGCUAAAUUCAGGUUAGCAGUUGUGCUAGCAUAGUUAUUUUAGAGAACAGUUGUAUUCUGUGUACAGUUUUAAGUGACAAAAAGAUUACACAGAGUUGUGUGGAUCAGUGCAGUCAUUGGAAUGUAACAGUGUUUUCUUACCUGUAUUAGCUGAACAUGAAAUCGAGGUUUUUCUUUCUGCCUUCCUAGGAACAUUUGCCCCACUCAGAGUGCUGAUGCCAUCCCCCAGCAUGCCGUGAAAUAGUCUAAUAGCCUGGCACACAAAAGAAAGGGGAACAAAGUUUUUAUUUCAUGAAAAUGUGGUUCACUUGUCCCAGUGUGUCCAGUUGAAUCAUUCAAAUUUGUGUUGAAACCUAACAGACAAGCGACAGGAAGUUUAUGAGCCUCAGGGAGACUUGUCCUAGCAAUUCUUAGGCAGUGUGAGCAGCUCACUGUACCUUCAGGUCCAUUUUUAUAAGCUGCAGAACCAACAGAUGCACUUUAAACCUUAAAAACACAGUGGCUAGGAAAUACAUAGUGCUGGAAGGUCUGAAAGCCAGAAGCAGCAGAAGGAAGUGCUGCUCUGUUUUCACAAGGACUGUGAAUUCCCUGCACUUAUGUAAGUCCACAGCAGUGAAGUUACGACAAUGACUCCUAACAAUGUGAGCAGAAUUAUUUCAGGAACCAGACUGUGGAGUAGUGAACUAAUUGUUGUGUGAUGGCGAAUCAUUACAAAAUUGGUACAAACAUGUGUUUUCCUAUUUAAAUCCACAUGAAAAGCAUCAGUCCAGAUUGUAUCAUAGUGUGGCAUUCCUGGAUGUAUAAUUAGUUCAGUUCUUUCAAGACCUUCAGUGAUUUUUCAGGUGUGUUGCAAGUACUGUAAUUAGUAUUCUAAG
rnacentral:lncRNA from 1 species